ensembl:lncRNA
GUUUUCACCACUUACUAAUGUCUGGUUGUGUUUAUCUUUGACAGGCUGCAUGCUUUGCUUUCUCUAUUUCUAUGUUUUUCAUACUGAACAACUGUAAGAUAUGUGUCACCUACGUAGAGGGGGCAAGUCAGCAGCAUACACUCUCAUUUUUGGAACAAAACUCCCAUCGGACGUGGAAGGGCGGAGAUCCGUGGCCCGGGAGGCUGAACUGAGCGCUGGGCGGGAAUUCGCACUCGCGGGUCUUCGGAGCCGGCGCUCUCGGGCAGAGGGCCCUCGCGCAGCCAGCCCCAUUCUCCCCAGGGGGAACUCGAGGACUCCCGGGCGUCCGCCCCUCGGUCCUUAUCGCCCCAGUUGCCCACGUGCCCCUGGUCCACAGGCGGGCUCCACGAGAGACCCAGGAAAACCGGAAGUUGAAAUGGGCAGCCGGACGGGAAACGUGGGCACACCAGCCAAGGUCAGGUAGCAACAGGAUAACCCUCCUGCCCCGGCGGGACUGCCCUCGGGGGCGCGGACGAGAGCGCGCAGCUCACUGAAGUCACAGGAUACCAGAGUUGGCAUUUGUUGAGCAUUUCCCGUGCCUGAAGUUCCAAAAAGCCCCUUCAUCCGUGACAAUUCUUUUAUAAACAGGCUCCUGAGGAUUGCUCUUAGGCAGCGAGACCUCCAUGCCAGCCUUAAGGUGAACUCAGAGGACCUGCUGACCACUCUGGGAGCCUUAAAUGAAAUCCAAGGAUGUCUCCACGGAGACACCGAUAAGACCUUCAGAAACUGUGUACUGAAAAGGAGCACCGUGUUCCUCCACUGGGCAGUGUCCGUCCUGUAAGGACAGCUGCAAAUC